rnacentral:miRNA from 1 species
ACUCACACUGCUUCAAAAUGUUAAGAGCAGCAGCAAUCUCACACAUGGAGAAUGAAACAAUGUUGCAGGGCUGCUGAGUCUCAGAAGUGAACAGUAGAUGAGAUAGGAAACA